UACGUAGGGUGCAAGCGUUGUCCGGAAUUAUUGGGCGUAAAGAGCUCGUAGGCGGUUUGUCGCGUCUGCUGUGAAAACCCGAGGCUCAACCUCGGGCCUGCAGUGGGUACGGGCAGACUAGAGUGCUGUAGGGGAGACUGGAAUUCCUGGUGUAGCGGUGAAAUGCGUAGAGAUCCGGAAGAACACCGGUGGCGAAGGCGGCCUGCUGGGCAGUAGCCGAAAGGCUUUCAAGCUGACACUGAGGCGCGACAGCGUGGGGAGCAAACAGG
rnacentral:rRNA from 1 species